AGAAACGUUAAUUUUAAUAAGGUACUUUGGUUUACUCGUUCAUGAUUCAAUGCUUAAAAUCAAUUCGAGGAUAAACACGAGAUUUUUAAAAUAUCUGCCAGGUCAUCAUAUAAUAAAUGGACUAUUUGUUUAUGCUAUAAAACAUACAUUUCAGAUCAAUAAAAUAUAUUACCUCGUAAAAUGAGGUAGUACAAUGACAACGUGCCAAUAAUGGUACUCAUAAAUAGUGCUGUUUGUUAUUUCCAACAACAAUGAUAAUUAUUGAUUGGUCUUAUAUAAAUGAGGAUGAAUUGCCCUCACUGGACAAUAUUCAACUUUGGAAGAGAAAAAUAUUUGUUGAAUUUCGACCUUACGCAUGUGAAUACGAAAGUUUUGGUCACUCUUACUCAUUGAGUAAGGCCAUUGUUCAAUUUCCCAUUUGCGAAAAGCGCUCAAAAAUCGGUUAUUGUACAAGUUCUGAUUGUAAACAUUACAGUGUUCAAUGACAAAAUGGAAAUUCUUUAUAUGACGGCAGUGUUAAGAGUUCAACCAAAAGAAAAAUACACAUUUCCGUAAAACAAAUACCAUUAACCAUUGAUUAGAAAUGACACGAUGUAGUGCACGCGGCACAUUUGGUCCCUUUCAGUUUGGCCGUGAAGUGAAAAACAGCACUUGAAGACUUCGUGCGUUCAUAGCGACUUGUCAAUACAACUCGAAAUUAUAAUAAUAAUGACAGUAAUCGA